GUCGAUCGAGAUUCAAGACCACGAUACGUAACAAGUCGCCAUCUAGGAGGAGUUGCUUGUACUAGAUCGCAAUACUAUAAGCUACUAGCGCCAGGAGUUGCCUGUACGAAUGUAUGGGUACUAAUACACUUUAAUGCUAUAAAUAUGCAAAUUUUUUUUAACGAGAAAAACUACUAAACAUAUUAUAUAAACGGAAAUAAAUGCAGUAAACUAAAGAAAAGUGACCAAGGCCUUCAGUUACCCGCGGCUGGAAUGCUGUCGUAUUAUGCAAGAUUUUUUUUUGUCAAUAAUCAAUAUGAAUGUUGUAUUGACACUAUUGACGUAUCAUAAAAUUACCUUUAAACUCGAACCAGAGGGCCCUGUGGCAUCAUCAAUGGCCGUAUCGAUAACCGGAACAAAAUGUAUCUAAAUUAUCAUUAGAUAAUUCCUGUUUUAGUACUAAAACAAAUUGUUUAUUUCACAAUGUACAAUGUGAAAAGUACUAGCGCAUUUUGGCCAGUAGUCAUAAGCAGAGUUUGGCACUGUGGUUUGUAACGCCGCUUACUGACUGAGUGUAGUACUAGUAUGGUCUGGGUUCGAUUCUGGCCUGAGGAAUAUUUUUUUGGUUUUUAUUUUUUUUCAAAACCGAUAAGUUUCUACAUUAUAAAGGUUUAUAUCUCCCGUUUACAAUAUUUAUGGCAAGAUUCAUUGUUUUGUAUGUUUUUCCUGAUGCAAAUUAAUUGUAGGUUCACAUAAAAAGUAUCUUUUUUUUGCAAUAAAACAGAACGCGUAGCAAUAAAUAUAGGUACCUAUUAUAAAUAUUCACUUAAGCUAAUGCAUGUGCCUUUGUGUUUGGGGUUGCGUUGCGACUUGCGAGUUGCGAGGUAGGUAGUCCGCAGCGCCGAGCCGGCGAAAGACUGCAUACAGGCAGACUGCAUAUUUAGCACGCACAGUACCUACAACUCAAGUACCUAUAAGUUACAUUUUGAAUAACGAGACAUUUUAAAAUUAUAUGAUAAUUAUUACGAUCAAAGAUUCGACCUACCAUAGAAACGUUGAAUUUUGUUACAAAUAUCAUACAGGGAACCAAACUAUACAGGCAGUAAUUUUUAUAACAAGCAAUAUUUUCUGCACAUGGGCUGCCGGCUGGCUGUGUGAAAAAAAGAAUAGAACAUCAAAAUUCAUCAUCAAUUUUGUUUAU